CCGGGGGGCAGCGCAGCCGUGCGCGGGCGGUCAGGCUUCUCUAAAGGGGAGGUUUCUUCCCCCCGGAGCUGGCCUGCUGGAAACCGCGCGCUUGGGAGGGCGCGUCCCGGGCGAGCUGACACGUUGGUGCUGGGAUGAGUUCGCCCCGAAGUACGACUGUGCUGCAGAUUCGGCCCCUUGUGUGCAGUCUCCUGUGUCGGGGGUACUUGGUCCUUAAUGCACGCGGCCGGGGAAUCUGCCGACAACCUGCCCCCAGAGGCGUUGCAGGUGUGGCUGUUUGUGUCACACUUGUGUCAUUCGGUGGCAGAAAGAAGAGAGGCUUAUCUACGCCCAGUGUUCAGCUGGUGAACGUCUGGAUGAUUAAAGUCUGACACCCGACCCAGCGCUUUGGGCCUUGCCUGAGGCCACCCUGUGGAAACCGUCCCCCCGUCUCCUGGUUCUUGGAUGGUCUCCGACGGGCACGUGGCCCUAGGUAGUGGGCCGCUCCAUUUCAGGCGGAACAAAGGACGCCCCUCAGUAGUUCCUCCUGCUUCCUGCCUGGCCCGCAGGGUAGGUUUUUCAGAAUCCUGCAGAAGCAGGGAAGGUUUGCUGGAACCUGGUCCGGUGAACGGUAACGAUGACGGCCGACUUUUAUUAUACUCUGAUCUCGGGCUGAGUAUUUUUGUUACUUAAUACAGGAACGAGGGCAACGGCUGUUGCCCCGGAGGGACCCCGAACACCUUCCGCCACCAUCCAGGCCGAGGUGGAGAGCUCAACACUGGUACAAGCAGGCGAGACCCGGGCUGGCUGCUCAGGGUGACAGACUCACCAAUUUCAGGUUAAAAAGAUGUGAUUAGCUGAGGCCAGAGCAGGAGGCUGGUGGGUACGUGUGUGCACAUGCACGCCCACGCCGGUGGGUGCAGGGAGGAGGGGGGCAGCUCGCUUUCCUGAGCUGUCGCCUGCUUAUUUGGCUGUGUGACGUUCAGGGGUUCCUGCAUAGCCUUUCCCAGGCAUUGUAACCACUUGGAGUUGAGCCUGCAAAGGUCAGUGGCCCCCGAGGACUUCGGGAGUAGGCUCUGCCCACCGCAGCCCGGGACGGGGACGCAGCCCUUCCCCCAGCUCCGAGCCUCCUGGUGCCUGGGAUCUCUUAAUAAACCUUGUGACUACUUGUGUGGAGGUUUUGAAACCUUGCCUUUCGUCAAAACAAUGCUGGGAGUUUUCACUUCCCAGAAUGGAAGCAGAGGGAGCCACCUGCUGAUCGCCUCCAUGGGGCAGGUCACAGCCCUGCAUAUUCUCCAUUCAGCGCACCAGCCUGGGCUCAGCAGUGGGGCCUCCAUGGGAAAAGGGUGUCCGGCUCCUGCAGUUUCCCCUUGGGGAGAGGCAGGGAGAAUGCUUGGCUCUUUCCUAGAUGAUGGAUUUUUCACCUAGUGGUUUAUGGAUAUGUGUUGGAAGUCCCGCGCGGCUGGACUGUAGGAGAGGGUCUGGGACGGGAGGAGCCCGGCCCUGCAGCUUGU